UUGGGGGUGCAUUCUGUGAGGGCAGGAGCAGGAACGGGAAGUUUUGAGUUAAAAACAGUAUUUUGUCCAUGAUGUUCCUGACAAACUGCACUAAUAUUAGAAUAAUUAGUGUUUUGCAGGGUGUUAUGGUUGGAAUGGGUCAAAAAUACAGCAAUGCAGGGGAUGAAGCACAAAGUAAAAGAGGGAUCCUGACACUGGAACAUCCCAAUGAAUGUGGAAUCAUCAUUAACUGGGAUGAUGUGGGAAAGGCUUGGUAUCAGAAAUGCCUUACUCAUUUUGAGUGGAAAACAUGGACUUCAUGUUAUGUGGCAUUGGAUUUGGAAAAUGAAACAGCAACUGCAGCCUCCUCCUCCUCUUGAAAAGGGCAUGGAGCUUCCUGAUGGACAGGGGAAGGAAUUCACCACUGGCAAUGAAUGGUGCUGAUGCCCAGGAGUAUUUUGCUUGUAUAAUUACCAUGCUGAGGUUCCAGAGGAGGGCUGGAAUCCACAGGUAUCCAUGAAACCACUUAAAAUGGUAUUGUGGAAUGUGAUAUUGACUUCCAUGAGGAUCUCUGUGGAAAAAGUGUCCUCUCUGGAGGAACCACUGUGUGUAUCCUGGGAUUUGGGAUCAUAUGCAGAAGGAGAGGACAGUUUGCCUCCAAGUACUGUGAAGAUCAAGGCAGAAAAGCUGGGCAGAGGUGCUGAGCCUUGUCUAGAGUGUGACAGUGUGGCUGAGUCUCCAUCACACUGACCAGGGUGCAAAAGCACAGAGCAGUGAAAACCACCCAAAUUCCACAUCCCUCUGUGCUGGUUUAGCAGGACAUUCCAGAAGACACAGAAGAAAGAAGACAAAGAACACAAAGAAGACCAGAACUGCAAUGUGGUGACAACAAACAAUGAAAGGUGCAAGCUUUGAGAAACAGAGACCUGUUUCUGAAGUCUGGGAAACGGCUCUUGGAGAAGAGAAUGAGAAAUAAAAAUCCCUCACAAAGAAAUGCAGUUUAUAACACAAGUACAUCACCUCCUGAAGUCUCUACAUGCUCCAGUCUCAAAGUCACAAUCCUCACUGAGCUUUUUCCCCAGAAUAAAACAAUCCAGCAUGAUAAUCCUUCUGGAACAAACCCAGAUGGCACCAUGGACAUGAUUUCAUUUGGAUGAAGUUUGACUUCAAAUUCCAUGCAGGAUAAAUAAACCAUCUCUCCUCUGCUCUGGAUGUGCUCACGGUAGGAAGGCUGCUAGUUAAUAUUUAAGUGCCAUUCCUGACAGCAGAGUUUUGUGCAUCAGCUUGACAAACCAGCUCCUGUCUAGCCCUGUGGUUCACGUCUGAAAAGCAGGUUAGAAACUUGGAUGCAUCAUUCAUUUUCAUCAGCAGCUAGAGAAG